rnacentral:rRNA from 1 species
GAUGAACGCUAGCGGCAGGCUUAACACAUGCAAGUCGAGGGGCAGCAAGGGUAGCAAUACCUGUUGGCGACCGGCAAACGGGUGCGGAACACGUACAGAAUCUACCUUUAUCUGGGGCAUAGCCCGAAGAAAUUCGGAUUAAUACCCCAUAAUAUAUAUGAGUGGCAUCACUUGAAUAUUAAAACUCCGGUGGAUAGAGAUGACUGUGCGUCCCAUUAGCUAGUGGUAGGGUAACGGCCUACCAAGGCGACGAUGGGUAGCUGGUGUGAGAGCACGACCAGCCACACGGGCACUGAGACACGGGCCCGACUCCGUACGGGAGGCAGCAGUGAGGAAUAUUGGUCAAUGGACGCAAGUCUGAACCAGCCAU